UAAGCCGUUGAAGGUGUGUUGUAAAGCAUGCUGGAGGUAUCAGAAGUGCGAAUGCUGACAUGAGUAACGACAAGGGGGGUGAAAAACCUCCCCGCCGGAAGACCAAGGGUUCCUGUCCAACGUUAAUCGGGGCAGGGUAAGUCGACCCCUAAGGCGAGGCCGAAAGGCGUAGUCGAUGGGAAACGGGUUAAUAUUCCCGUACUUCUUACAAUUGCGAUGGGGGGACGGAGAAGGCUAGGUGGGCCUGGCGACGGUUGUCCAGGUUCAAGUGCGUAGGCU
rnacentral:rRNA from 1 species